UUUAACCUAUUUAAAGUUUCAAUUUUUUUAAGUGUUAAUAAAUAUUUUAGGUUUGGUCAAAAACCUUAAAAUUUAGUAUAACAUCUUACAUAAGUUAUCUACAAAGAAAUUAAAAAAUAUUAAAUACAAAUAGGUAGGGAAAUUUUUAUUAUACGCGUUUGAAGUCAAAACCAGGAAAAAUAUUUUGUAGUGACCAAUGACCUGCUGCCACCUACUCGAGGUACAUUAUACUUACAUAAUAUAUCAGACAAUCAGAGCAAGUUUCCCAGUUGAAAAAAAAACAAGAUUUUAAAAAUAUACAUUUUUGUUAGUUUAUUGACCAGUAAUGAUGACUGUUGUAUAUGCUUAUGAGAAAUUAAUGAAUAUUUCAUGUAUGAAUAAAUGAUGCAUAAUGUUCUAUCACACAGCUUCCGCAUUCAGCGAACAUUGAUUUGUUUACUUCGGUAAUGUCAGAGCGUACUCUAGCUCAAAACGACCACUCGUCAUAAUCAUGGUCCUCUGCAGAUAUUGAGUGGAAAUUAUCCAUCACACGUGACUCGUAAUAAAUUAUAUAAUAUCAGACAUGUAUGGGAGUUCCGUUGAUUUCUACACGGAUUUUCUCGAGAUGAAUAAUUCAUGUGAUAGGACAUUGGUGCAUGCGGGAAAUGGGUUAAGUCAACGUUUGGCGUAAAAUGGUAUUACGAGUGUAUUUACAAAAAAAUAAAAAUAUAGAAACAAACA